GUGGGCGUAGCUCAGUUGGUAGAGCUCCGGAUUGUGGCUCCGGUGGUCGUGGGUUCAAAUCCCAUCGCUCACCCCA
rnacentral:tRNA from 1 species